GUAACUUCGGGAGAAGGUACGCUCUUGAUGGUGAAGUCCCUCGCGGAUGGAGCUGACGAGAGUCGCAGAUACCAGGUGGCUGCAACUGUUUAUUAAAAACACAGCACUGUGCAAAAUCGCAAGAUGACGUAUACGGUGUGACGCCUGCCCGGUGCCGGAAGGUUAAUUGAUGGGGUUAGCGCAAGCGAAGCUCUUGAUCGAAGCCCCGGUAAACGGCGGCCGUAACUAUAACGGUCCUAAGGUAGCGAAAUUCCUUGUCGGGUAAGUUCCGACCUGCACGAAUGGCGUAAUGAUGGCCACGCUGUCUCCACCCGAGACUCAGUGAAAUUGAAAUCGCUGUGAAGAUGCAGUGUACCCGCGGCUAGACGGAAAGACCCCGUGAACCUUUACUACAGCUUGGCACUGAACAUUGAACCUACAUGUGUAGGAUAGGUGGGAGGCUAUGAAGACGUGACGCCAGUUGCGUUGGAGCCGUCCUUGAAAUACCACCCUUGUAUGUUUGAUGUUCUAACUUAGACCCAUUAUCUGGGUUGAGGACAGUGCCUGGUGGGUAGUUUGACUGGGGCGGUCUCCUCCCAAAGAGUAACGGAGGAGCACGAAGGUGGGCUAAUCACGGUUGGACAUCGUGAGGUUAGUGCAAUGGCAUAAGCCCGCUUAACUGCGAGAAUGACGGUUCGAGCAGGUGCGAAAGCAGGUCAUAGUGAUCCGGUGGUUCUGUAUGGAAGGGCCAUCGCUCAACGGAUAAAAGGUACUCCGGGGAUAACAGGCUGAUACCGCCCAAGAGUUCAUAUCGACGGCGGUGUUUGGCACCUCGAUGUCGGCUCAUCACAUCCUGGGGCUGAAGUCGGUCCCAAGGGUAUGGCUGUUCGCCAUUUAAAGUGGUACGCGAGCUGGGUUUAGAACGUCGUGAGACAGUUCGGUCCCUAUCUGCCGUGGGCGUUGGAAGAUUGAAGGGGGCUGCUCCUAGUACGAGAGGACCGGAGUGGACGAACCUCUGGUGUUCGGGUUGUGUCGCCAGACGCAUUGCCCGGUAGCUAAGUUCGGAAUUGAUAAGCGCUGAAAGCAUCUAAGCGCGAAGCGAGCCCUGAGAUGAGUCUUCCCUGACAGUUUAACUGUCCUAAAGGGUUGUUCGAGACUAGAACGUUGAUAGGCAGGGUGUGUAAGCGUUGUGAGGCGUUGAGCUAACCUGUACUAAUUGCCCGUGAGGCUUAACCAU
rnacentral:rRNA from 1 species